UACGUAGGAUGCAAGCGUUAUCCGGAUUUAUUGGGUUUAAAGGGUGCGCAGGUGGUUUAAUAAGUCAGUGGUGAAAGUCUGUCGCUUAACGGUAGGAUUGCCAUUGAUACUGUUAGACUUGAAUAUGGGUGAGGUAAGUGGAAUGUGUAGUGUAGCGGUGAAAUGCAUAGAUAUUACACAGAACACCGAUUGCGAAGGCAUCUCACAAAGCCGUUAUUGACGCUGAGGCACGAAAGUGUGGGGAUCAAACAGGAUUAGA
rnacentral:rRNA from 1 species